GAUGAACGCUGGCGGCGUGCCUAAUACAUGCAAGUCGAGCGAACGGACGAGAAGCUUGCUUCUCUGAUGUUAGCGGCGGACGGGUGAGUAACACGUGGAUAACCUACCUAUAAGACUGGGAUAACUUCGGGAAACCGGAGCUAAUACCGGAUAAUAUUUUGAACCGCAUGGUUCAAAAGUGAAAGACGGUCUUGCUGUCACUUAUAGAUGGAUCCGCGCUGCAUUAGCUAGUUGGUAAGGUAACGGCUUACCAAGGCAACGAUGCAUAGCCGACCUGAGAGGGUGACCGGCCACACUGGAACUGAGACACGGUCCAGACUCCUACGGGAGGCAGCAGUAGGGAAUCUUCCGCAAUGGGCGAAAGCCUGACGGAGCAACGCCGCGUGAGUGAUGAAGGUCUUCGGAUCGUAAAACUCUGUUAUUAGGGAAGGACAUAUGUGUAAGUAACUGUGCACAUCUUGACGGUACCUAAUCAGAAAGCCACGGCUAACUACGUG
rnacentral:rRNA from 1 species